AAUCUCGGAACUAAGUGCAAACGCAAACCUCUCUCCUCUCUCAGUCCAUUUAUGUCUUGCUCCCUCCGUCGUGCCGAAGGCCUCUCUGACGGCGGAGGCACUCAUAAAUCCAAAACAAGAAGAAUGUUUGAACCGAAAUCAUGCGCUGAAACCAAAAAUGCAAACGGAUUCUUCUAAUUCUUCAAGAACCAUGCAAGUCGAAGAUAAAAAUGGAAGAACCCUAAGUAAUCAAAGCCAAAUUAAGUAGCGCACGUUCACGGAUUCACAUUCAAACCAUGGGGCUAAUGACGCCAAGUGUUUCUUCUACACAAUGGUAACUAUUUCAUAGCAAAUAGGAGUGAAACACAAUUUACCUCCGAAACAGAGAACUGUUUUGAUGAAUGUUGAAACGGAGAAGACGGAGGCGCAGCGGAAAAUCACUUGAAACACAGGUGUAAUGUUGUGAAAGGAUAUGCGUGUUGGAGCUUGGUUUGGAUGCAUUGCAGGUGCAAGGUAAUGUUCGUGGUCUGCCAAAAGAAAUUCUGCAGGAUGCUAUGCAGAGAGUUUCACUUGUAACACCUUAAAUUUUUCCCGAGUAAAUUUAAAACAUUUAUUAGAGUAAAAAAAACAGCAUGCAAUGUAGGAUGCUACACUAAAACAUACAAUCAACCUACUAAGUUAUAAA